rnacentral:piRNA from 1 species
UAUAAAAAGAAAGCAAAGGGAUUAAUGAUC